rnacentral:rRNA from 1 species
AAAUUGAAGAGUUUGAUCAUGGCUCAGAUUGAACGCUGGCGGCAGGCCUAACACAUGCAAGUCGAACGGUAACAGGAAGAAGCUUGCUUCUUUGCUGACGAGUGGCGGACGGGUGAGUAAUGUCUGGGAAACUGCCUGAUGGAGGGGGAUAACUACUGGAAACGGUAGCUAAUACCGCAUAACGUCGCAAGACCAAAGAGGGGGACCUUCGGGCCUCUUGCCAUCGGAUGUGCCCAGAUGGGAUUAGCUAGUAGGUGGGGUAAAGGCUCACCUAGGCGACGAUCCCUAGCUGGUCUGAGAGGAUGACCAGCCACACUGGAACUGAGACACGGUCCAGACUCCUACGGGAGGCAGCAGUGGGGAAUAUUGCACAAUGGGCGCAAGCCUGAUGCAGCC